rnacentral:rRNA from 1 species
CCUACGGGUGGCAGCAGUAGGGAAUCUUUCACAAUGGGCGAAAGCCUGAUGGAGCAACGCCGCGUGCAGGAUGAAGGCCUUCGGGUUGUAAACUGCUUUUAUAAGCGAGAAAUAUGAUGGUAACUUAUGAAUAAGGAUCGGCUAACUACGUGCCAGCAGCCGCGGUAAUACGUAGGAUCCGAGCAUUAUCCGGAGUGACUUGGUGUAAAGAGUUGCGUAGGUGGGAUAAUAAGUAGCUAGUGAAAUCUGGUGGCUCAACCAUUCAGACUAUUAGCUAAACUGUUAAGCUCGAGAACGUGAGGGGUAACUGGAAUUUCUAGUGUAGGAGUGAAAUCCGUAGAUAUUAGAAGGAACACCAAUAGCGUAGGCAGGUUACUGGGACGGUACUGACACUAAGGCACGGAAGCGUAGGGAGCAAACGGGAUUAGAUACCCUUGUAGUC